CGCGUAGGCGGCUUGGCAAGUCAGAUGUGAAAGCCCCGGGCUUAACCCGGGAAUUGCAUCUGAAACUACUUUGCUUGAGUCCUGGAGGGGAUAGUGGAAUUCCCAGUGUAGCGGUGAAAUGCGUAGAUAUUGGGAGGAACACCUGCGGCGAAGGCGGCUAUCUGGACAGUGACUGACGCUGAGGCGCGAAAGCUAAGGGAGCGAACG
rnacentral:rRNA from 1 species